GACGAACGCUGGCGGCGUGCCUAAUACAUGCAAGUAGAACGCUGAAGCGAGGAGCUUGCUCUUCUUGGAUGAGUUGCGAACGGGUGAGUAACGCGUAGGUAACCUGCCUUGUAGCGGGGGAUAACUAUUGGAAACGAUAGCUAAUACCGCAUAACAAUAGGUGACACAUGUCAUUUAUUUGAAAGGGGCAAUUGCUCCACUACAAGAUGGACCUGCGUUGUAUUAGCUAGUAGGUGAGGUAACGGCUCACCUAGGCGACGAUACAUAGCCGACCUGAGAGGGUGAUCGGCCACACUGGGACUGAGACACGGCCCAGACUCCUACGGGAGGCAGCAGUAGGGAAUCUUCGGCAAUGGGGGCAACCCUGACCGAGCAACGCCGCGUGAGUGAAGAAGGUUUUCGGAUCGUAAAGCUCUGUUGUAAGUCAAGAACGAGUGUGAGAGUGGAAAGUUCACACUGUGACGGUAGCUUACCAGAAAGGGACGGCUAACUACGU
rnacentral:rRNA from 1 species